rnacentral:lncRNA from 1 species
CCGGCCCAGACAGCGCAGGGCGGGCAGUGCUUUGCCGGGACCGACAUCUCCCGCAGACCAGCACAGCACGGAACAGCACAGGCGCCGCAACGAGGCCAAGAAGCGACCACAGACUGGAGGGGGAUCGAGAGCCCCAGAGACCACCAGACCUCAGACCUGUUUCCAGAAAGGUCUGAAAGAACAGCCUGUGCAUGGGAACUCAUUGGCACAGAAGACAGAAAGCCACCUUCCGUGGGGAACCCUGUCCAUGCAAAGGUACCCCCAGCAAGCCCAGCAGCCUGGACGUCCCUCCAGCUGCAUCCACGCUGGACACCGGACUGACCCCUUGCACAGGAUGGCGGCGUCACCCAUUCUCAGAGGAAGGUAGGAGACUGUGCUGAAUGUCACCUCCAGGAGCUGUAGGAACAGUCCCUUGACAAGGUCCCAGUGUGCCAGUAUCGAAAAGUCAGUUAAAUUAUGGCCUUUUGUAGUGCUGUAAAAAACAGCUCCCUUUAGGGUUCCUGGAUGCCCUCUUUGGUUGAGGCUGCAAUCCCUUGGAUGAAGUUGUCCCUGUGGAUACAACUGGUACUUCAUGUUCCUAGGAAGGACCCUCCCCAGCUGGGCAAGCUUUGUGCAGCCCUGGUUUCUGUUGCACUCGGGGCAGCUCUUUCCCAUCCUGUCCAGAGCAAGACAAUGCCAUGACCCAGAUGGGAGUGCAGAGCAGGUCUGGACUGACAGGACAGUCAUCCACGACCACAUCAGCCUGACAUUCCCUGAUGAUGGCAACGGGAUGAACUCGGAGCAGCUGCACAAAAUACUAAGCUGUCUUCCCCCACACUUGUCAUGUGGGCACAGGGAUACCACACUUGCAAGGGCUUCUCCAAAGGUUUUUCUGCCAGGAGUGCUCCAGGCUUUCAGAAGAGCAGCCCUGGGAGAGCAGCUGAGUGAUGACGGGAAGGAGCUGCAGAGGAAGAAGGAGGAGGAAUGUCCCUUGGCUGUGCCAGGUGAGGAGAUGCAGGGAGUGGCAAGGCCAGGGAGAGCAAAGGCCUUGCCA